GACAGAGGGUGCAAACGUUGUUCGGAAUUACUGGGCGUAAAGCGCGUGUAGGCUGCUCGGAAAGUCGGAUGUGAAAGCCCUGGGCUUAACCUAGGAAGUGCAUUCGAAACUUCCGAGCUGGAGUUCUGGAGAGGAAGGCGGAAUUCUCGGUGUAGAGGUGAAAUUCGUAGAUAUCGGGAGGAACACCGGUGGCGAAGGCGGUUCUCUGGGCCUGACCUGACGCUGAGGAGCGAAAGCGUGGGGAGCGAACAGG
rnacentral:rRNA from 1 species